AAGCGGUUCGCCCCCCAACGGGCGAUUAAAAGGGAACCGGGUGAGAAUCCCGGACAGUCCCGCUGCUGUAUGCCGCCCUUGUCACGGACUUGGACACGAUGCCACUGCACUAUUGUUGGGAAGGCGUCCACGCUCCGGGCGGCGAGUCAGAAGACCUGCCAUUGCGAG
rnacentral:ncRNA from 1 species